rnacentral:rRNA from 1 species
AUUACUGGGCGUAAAGGGUGUGUAGGAGGUCGGAAAAGUCGAAUGUGAAAUCCCUCUGCCUAACGGAGGAACUGCGUUCGAAACUGUCUGGCUAGAGGUUCGGAUGGGGAAGCGGAACUCUCGGUGUAGCAGUGAAAUGCGUAGAUAUCGAGAGGAACACCGGUGGCGAAGGCGGCUUCCUGGACGAAACCUGACUCUGAAACACGAAAGCUAGGGGAGCAAACGGGAUUAGAUACCCCGGUAGUCCUAGCUGUAAACGGUGUGCGUUAGGUGUUGGCGGAUUCGACCCCGCCGGUGCCGAAGCUAACGCAUUAAACGCACCGCCUGAGGAGUACGGUCGCAAGGCUAAAACUCAAAGAAAUUGACGGGGGCCCGCACAAGCGGUGGAGCAUGUGGCUUAAUUCGAUGCAACGCGAAGAACCUUACCUGGCCUUGACAUGCAGCGUUCAGUCCCGGAAACGGGAUGGCCCGCAAGGGCGAGCUGCACAGGUGCUGCAUGGCUGUCGUCAGCUCGUGUCGUGAGAUGUUGGGUUAAGUCCCCCAACGAGCGCAACCCCUGUGUUUAGUUGCCGAAAGGUUCUCUAGACAGACUGCCCUCUUCAAGGGGGAGGAAGGUGGGGACGACGUCAAGUCAGGAUGGCCCUUAUGGCCAGGGCUGCACACGUGCUACAAUGCUCGGCACAAAGGGAAGCAAGACCGCGAGGUGGAGCAAAUCCCCAAAACCGAGCCCAGUUCGGAUUGAAGGCUGCAACUCGACUGCAUGAAGUCGGAAUCGCUAGUAAUCGCGGAUCAGCUUGCCGCGGUGAUACGUUCCCGGGUCUUGCACACACCGCCC